rfam:Marvinbryantia formatexigens DSM 14469 B_formatexigens-1.0.1_Cont16.1, whole genome shotgun sequence.
CACUGCCAGGGUGCAAAAAGUCAUACAUCCCAUGCCUGCAUGGGAAUGGAUGACUUUGGCGCCCGCGAAACAUGAGAAAGCAGCCAUUUUUCGCAGAAAAAUGUGCGAAUUUCGAAUGUUUCCAGGAUUUCGGGAGUGCGCAGCACGGAGAAAUCCGCAGGCAUCA